GGAUAUGAAGGUGAUCUGGCACAUCUGUCACCCAUGGGUCGCCUGUGUUGAUUCCCAUGAUUUGGCUGCCUCAGCAGGUGUCCCCUUCCUUCCUCACCGCUCCACGUGCGUCCCUCCCGAAGCUGCACGCUCAGUCGAAGAGGACGGCCUUCCCCUAUAGAGGAGGACCACUCUGCGGUCCAGGGUAUACAGGUAGCCACGUUCCCUGGCUAGAACCUCCAAACAAGCUCUCCAGGUCCGUUUGUAGGAGAACAUAGGUUCGUCAAGCUUCUGAGACUGCAGACACAUCCAAGUGAGGUGCUGCCUGUGGCAGUCUGCUUUUU
rnacentral:snRNA from 1 species